rnacentral:rRNA from 1 species
GAUGAACGCUGGCGGCGUGCCUAAUACAUGCAAGUCGAGCGAACGGAUGAGAAGCUUGCUUCUCUGAUGUUAGCGGCGGACGGGUGAGUAACACGUGGAUAACCUACCUAUAAGACUGGGAUAACUUCGGGAAACCGUAGCUAAUACCGGAUAAUAUUUUGAACCGCAUGGUUCAAAAGUGAAAGACGGUCUUGCUGUCACUUAUAGAUGGAUCCGCGCUGCAUUAGCUAGUUGGUAAGGUAACGGCUUACCAAGGCAACGAUGCAUAGCCGACCUGAGAGGGUGAUCGGCCACACUGGAACUGAGACACGGUCCAGACUCCUACGGGAGGCAGCAGUAGGGAAUCUUCCGCAAUGGGCGAAAGCCUGACGGAGCAACGCCGCGUGAGUGAUGAAGGUCUUCGGAUCGUAAAACUCUGUUAUUAGGGAAGAACAUAUGUGUAAGUAACUGUGCACGUCUUGACGGUACCUAAUCAGAAAGCCACGGCUAACUACGUG